UUCACUAACCAACAAAAAAAGGCCACAAAAUUGAUUAGAGGCUUCCCAUCUGCCUGGAUCCCGAGCAUUCCAGCAGCUCUUUCGUUUGGUUUCUUUGAACAGAAGGAUCCUAUUUCAGAGACUGGGCGGCCUGUCUCCUGUCCGGAUCUAGACCAGAGUUAUCACGUGCUGUACGAGCUCAACCUGGGCUUCCACAAGUGACAACAUUUGUGAAAAUGUUUUAAAAAACAAACAAAAGUGAUUUUCGGCCUUAAUGGUAGUAGAAUGAGUUGUGUCUGCUACGUUUAGGUAAUUUUUUCACGGACUCUUGUAGUAGGCGCAGGUGGCUACAUGUAGUUCCCUAUUGGUGCGCUGUCAACCGUAUACCAAGCCAGAGACACGCCUCGAUGACCAAAACUAGGCCAGGGCAAAACGGUGAGGUGGUGCCGGUAGCGCCCAGCCAUUGUAGGAAGAUGACAAAAUGAAGAGAUUGUUUUCCUGUUAACUCUCAGCCUGUCCAGUGCCGCCGAUUUUGCAGAGCGACUGGUUACAGGGGACUGAGGAAGAAGCUUUGAGGCAUAAGUAUAGUGUGUUUAGAAGGUGGCUUUCUUGCUCCUGAGGAACACACAGCAGGAAGCAGCUGUAGUGGUUACUGCGACAAUGUUUAUCUCCUUGCCUGCAUUGUCCCUGCUCUGUCCCUUGGACAGAGUGGAUGAUGCGGAACUUGAGGUUAUGGGAAAUUCCUGUGGCAUAGCCUGAGGAGGAGAGUUCCCUGCUAUGUGGUCAGCAAGCAUUUUUGACCUCAUCCAUGAAUAAAAGCAGCUCUCCCUGUA